GGUGGCUCAGUGGUAGAGUGCUUGCCUCGUGCGCAUGAGGCCCUGGGUUCAAUUCCUCAGCACCA
rnacentral:tRNA from 1 species